CCUACGGGAGGCAGCAGUGGGGAAUAUUGGGCAAUGGGAGAAAUCCUGACCCAGCAACGCCGCGUGGAGGACGAAAGCCUUCGGGUUGUAAACUCCUGUCAGUAGGGAAAAAGGCUGCAAAAGCCAAUACCUUUUGCAGCUUGAUGGUACCUGCAAAGGAAGCACCGGCUAACUACGUGCCAGCAGCCGCGGUAAUAA
rnacentral:rRNA from 1 species